GGAUGAAGAACGCAGCGAAAUGCGAUAAGUAAUGUGAAUUGCAGAAUUCAGUGAAUCAUCGAAUCUUUGAACGCGCAUUGCGCCCAUUAGUAUUCUAGUGGGCAUGCCUGUUCGAGCGUCAUUUCAACCCUUAAGCCUAGCUUAGUAUUGGGAAUCGACUUUACUGUCGUUCCUCAAAUUCAACGGCGGAUUUAUAGCAAUCUCUGAACGUAGUAAUUUUUUUUCUCGUUUUUGAAAUACUAUAAACCUCAGCCGCUAAACCCCCAAUUUCUUAUGGUUGACCUCGGAUCAGGUAGGAAUACCCGCUGAACUUAAGCAUAUCAAUAAGCGGAGGA
rnacentral:misc_RNA from 1 species